rnacentral:rRNA from 1 species
GAGUUUGAUCCUGGCUCAGAGCGAACGCUGGCGGCAUGCUUAACACAUGCAAGUCGCACGAAGGUUUCGGCCUUAGUGGCGGACGGGUGAGUAACGCGUAGGAAUCUAUCCACGGGUGGGGGAUAACUUCGGGAAACUGAAGCUAAUACCGCAUGAUACCUGAGGGUCAAAGGCGCAAGUCGCCUGUGGAGGAGCCUGCGUUUGAUUAGCUUGUUGGUGGGGUAAUGGCCUACCAAGGCGAUGAUCGAUAGCUGGUUUGAGAGGAUGAUCAGCCACACUGGGACUGAGACACGGCCCAGACUCCUGCGGGAGGCAGCAGUGGGGAAUAUUGGACAAUGGGGGCAACCCUGAUCCAGCAAUGCCGCGUGUGUGAAGAAGGUUUUCGGAUUGUAAAGCACUUUCGGCGGGGACGAUGAUGACGGUACCCGCAGAAGAAGCCCCGGCUAACUUCGUGCCAGCAGCCGCGGUAAUACGAAGGGGGCUAGCGUUGCUCGGAAUGACUGGGCGUAAAGGGCGUGUAGGCGGUUUGUACAGUCAGAUGUGAAAUCCCCGGGCUUAACCUGGGAGCUGCAUUUGAUACGUGCAAACUAGAGUGUGAGAGAGGGUUGUGGAAUUCCCAGUGUAGAGGUGAAAUUCGUAGAUAUUGGGAAGAACACCGGUGGCGAAGGCGGCAACCUGGCUCAUAACUGACGCUGAGGCGCGAAAGCGUGGGGAGCAAACAGGAUU